rnacentral:rRNA from 1 species
CCUACGGGCGGCAGCAGUGAGGAAUAUUGGUCAAUGGGCGAGAGCCUGAACCAGCCAAGUCGCGUGAGGGAUGAAGGAUCUAUGGUUUGUAAACUUCUUUUAUCUGGGAGUAAAGGGCGGAACGUGUUCCUUUUUGUACGUACCAUAAGAAUAAGCAUCCGCUAACUCCGUGCCAGCAGCCGCGGUAAUACGGAGGAUGCGAGCGUUAUCCGGAGUUAGUGGGUUUAAAGGGUGCGUAGGGGGUUUAUUAAGUCAGCGGGGAAAGUUUGUGGCUCAACCAUAAAAUUGCAGUUGAAACUGGUUGACUUGAGUAUAUUUGAGGUAGGCGGAAUGCGUGGUGUAGCGGUAAAAUGCAUAGAUAUCACGCAGAACUCCGAUUGCGAAGGCAGCUUACUAAACUAUAACUGACACUGAAGCACGAAAGAGUGGGGAUCAAACAGGAUUAGAUACCCGAGUAGUC